rnacentral:ncRNA from 1 species
AUGUUAUCAAGAAAGGUGAAGGGAUUAGACCCAAUGAAGCCUUAGCAACCCUUUGUUAUGCUGAAAUCUAUUCAGUGUUUUAAAGAAGGUGCUAAAUUCUACUCAACUAUUUUAGUUGGAUAGAUAACAA